AUUUUGUGGUCUCUGCUUUUAUCCCAAUCUGUGAAUUAGCGAAACACUCAGCACGCAGAGAACACACAGUGAGGUGAAGCACACACUAAUCCCGGCGCAGUGAG